CUGUCUAUGGAGUGAAUUCUAAAGGAAAUGUGUACCGCAGGGAUUCCACAUCUAACUGUACUCCUGAGGGUACAGGCUGGACCAAGAUUCCGAUCUUCGAAGGAAAAGUGAAGCAUGUGUCCUACGAUAGCGGUCAUGGAUCAUCCUGAAGAAUGACGCCAUCUACGACUGCCCAGUCUGAGCACUGCUCUUCCACAGAGACAGCCCUGCUGCGUGAACCCUGCACUCUACCUUCAUUACUUCACCACUGCAGCCCUUAACUAGUCAUGGCUGCUUCUGAUCUUUAAACAUAUACUCAAGUCAAGUCAAGUCAACUUCAUUUAUAGCACAUAUCAUACACAGAGGUCAUUCAGUGUGCUUUACAUAAACAAAAAACAAACAGUAAUAGCAGACAAAAGCAUAGAUGGGCAAAGCGUAAUAGUAAUAAUAAUAAUAAUAAUAUAUAUUUUUAAAAAUCAUAAGGAACAUAAGGAAUGAGGAAUAAUUAACAAGAAAACAUGACAAGGUAGAAUGUUUCAUAUACAGAUACAGGUCUGUUCUUAACAGACUCUGCCAGAGUCUAGUUUAGCAAACCAGUGAUAGUGAUCCUUCUCAAACACCCAGAGCUGUUGCCACUCUUUGGAGAUUUGUUGAUGCUUUGUUGUGAUACUCAUGCUGUUUUUCUGUCAAAUUAUUCAGUUUGGUUGAUUUGUAAAAGCACAUAUUGUGUAGAUUGAGUCUUUAGAAUGCUCUGAAGUGGUGCUGCCUUUGCUUGACAGUUUGUUCAGGUUGUCUUUUCCUGCCAUCUUUAAAAUAAUCAUAGUGAUGAAUACUAUCUGCCCUCUUGUGAUGUGGGUGAUCAAUAAAGCAUAUCAUACUAAA